AAUCAACGCUGGCGGCGUGCCUAACACAUGCAAGUCGAGCGCGAAUAGGGGGGUAACUCCCUUAGUAGAGCGGCGAACGGGUGAGUAACACGUGGGUGACCUGCCCUCAGCUCUGGGAUAAGCCUGGGAAACCGGGUCUAAUACUGGAUAUGACUCCAUGACGCAUGUUGUGGGGUGGAAAGCCUUGUGCGGCUGAGGAUGGGCCCGCGGCCUAUCAGCUUGUUGGUGGGGUGAUGGCCUACCAAGGCGA
rnacentral:rRNA from 1 species